GGGAAAGUGAUGGGUAGGUAUCCAUCAUUCACGAUGACAAGUGAAACUCACUUUGUUUAUUGUAGUGAAAGAUGACUUUUAUUCUUGUUGCUGGGUUUUCCCCUUUCUUACUCACGGCGGUGGUGGUGAUCAGAGGGGCUUUGAUGUGUACGUUGAAUGGGAGUUUGGGCUCAGGCACCUGAUUGUUAAGCCUUGGAAAGAAUCUGUAUUUUUCUCCUAGAAGCGCAAUAAAAUAUGUUACUUAAAAGGAAUGUAUAAAAGAAUUCAGAAUUCCAUCGGCCUUUCCUGUUGAGGCCACUCUCCAUAUAUCUCUUCCCCCUGCCUCUCUCAACCAAUUUGCUCUUUACAAGAUGACUGCUCUAUCAGACAUAAAAUGCUGCCUUUUUUCACUUAACUAUGCAAUAGCCGCUCUCUGCACUUCUGGGGCAGGUUUAAUGGUGCAUUUAUAUUCCAUUCAAACUUGAACACAGCAAGAGCAAACCUACCCACAGGAAUCAUAAGUACUGGUGGCAUUUGUGGGGAUCUGAAAGCUUUGCAUAUAGCAUUAUAUUUACCUGAGCCGUUCCAAAGCGUUAUCAUUAAAACACAAUUGUGCUUCCCAGGUGUCAGCUGGGCAUCGGCGAGGUUUAGAAUCAUCUUGAUGCCUCUUCCCUGUGGGUUAUGUUGAGGCUCAUUUUCAUCUCUAGGUUUGAGCAAAGGGCUGUAUCCCAAAGCCUCAGAUACAUCAGUCUCUUCGAAGGGAACCAAAUGUUAAUUUCCAUUUGAUUACCAGCUGGAGAAAUGCCUUCUCCUAUGAUGGGGCAGGGGAAUGCCAAGUGGGAAGAAACAGGCUGAUGCUUUGGAAGAAAGUGCUCACAGUGGGCCAGGCUGGUGACAUUUCAUCCAACGUUACAGUUAAAUGCUUGGAGACAGAGUCCCCGGUUUCCCCCAAAAGAGCCUGCAACUGAUUAGAACGGAGGUGCAUAGUAAGAGCUCUCUUUGACUCUUUCUUGUCACGUGGGCCAGAAGACAAGCAUAUCCAUCACUAGGGAGAUGUGGCAAAAGGUGCUGCCUCUGCUGAGGCUGACUCAUUGUAAUGUUGUUGGACCACUCUGAUUUUCGGAGGGUGGCAAGAUGAACUUGUGAGAGGCGCACAUGGUGCUCCACUGCCCCCAGCCCUUCCACUGGAUGUUGGGAUCCGUGCUCUGUAGAGUGCUCCUCCCCUUAAAGCUUGAAUUCUCUUACAUUUUCCUCUGUUUCCUUCUUCCUGCUGAAACUUGCUGUCAGGAAAGAACCACCAUCCUGCAUUCCUUCGUAGGAAGGUGAAAUUUCAGGUGUGUAAAUUGAGACGCUUCUUAAAACAUGGUCACUGUGUGUGCGUGUGUGUGUGUGUGUGUAUGUGUGUGUGUUUGUGCAUGCAUGCACACGCAUGUGUGGUUACGUGUGUGUCGGACAGAGAUUGAAGUCCUUAUCUGAAAUUCCUGCGCUCACAUUUCCUCAGCUGAAUGGCAUCUGGAAAGUUUAUUUCUACAGCUCUUAUCUAGAGCAGUUUCACAUUCCUUUUAGAAGAGUCCUGAUCUAGUGCGUGUCCCAAAAAGUCUCAGAUGUGGCUCUGUAAAGGUGAGCAACUAAGGCAGGCUAUGAACAGGCAAAGAAGAAGCCCCUUUGGUGAUCUGGGCAAACAGCAACUCAAGCUUCCUUCACCCCAACCUUCAAGACAAUGUGCUAGAUUUUUUUUUGAAUGGAUGGAAGGAACUCUCAGCUACCUGAAAUUUGGGGGGAAGCUGAUAAGGUUGGGAAAUAAUGAGGGAACCAGAAGGGUUGGAUGGGAGGGAGCCAGUCUACUUCCAUCCUUAGUGGUAGUUAGAUAGGUCCUUUACUCAUUCACUCAUUCAUUCACUCACUCGUUUACCAAUUCUGCUUCAUGCCUGUUGUAUUCAGGAGGCUUGGCACAGCCUCUGGCCUCUGGUCGUCUUGUAUUCAUUUAACUAGAAAGGACCUAAUUUUCGUGCCUGAACCAGAACAUGCCAAUGAAGAUGCACUCUUCCAAGACAGAAACGUCGUAGACCAGAGGGGAUGGCUGAAUAGAAUGACCCAAUGAUGGGUCACGGGGCUGCCCUGCCUUCACAGGAAGCUGAGACGAUCCAACGUCUUGAGAUGGCCAGUGUGCUAGCGGGACUUGCCUGGCUGUGCACAAAAAGGAAUUCUUCCCCUCUCCCUUCCAAUAGAGGAGCCCAGAGGCCUUCCCAGCCCCCAGUAUGAUUAUAUUGGGAUCCUGUAUCUCUAGACUGGAGGAAAGAAUAUUCAUUCCAGUGUCAGUGUCGGUCAUUGUGUACCCACGUGUUGCCCUGUCCUCUGACUUCGAGGGUUCAUUCUCUGGGCUAAUCUGGUGGCCAGAUGGGAGUAAACCACAGAGCUCUCUGUGGGUCUCUGAGCCCUGAGAGUUGAUGUCCUGAAAGGAGAGGAAGACAUAGACCCAGUGCUCCCUGGGGGAACCAGUUCCCUGUGAAACUGACAGCACUAACAGCCUGAACCCAGCCAGAACCCUUACUGGGACGUGAACCCACGUGCCAGGACUUGAACCCAGCCUAAACCCAGCCUAAACCCAGAUUGGAACUUGAAUCCACGGUUUUAAAUGAGAGCCCCUCACUCUGUGUCUAGAUUCACUGAACUUCAUUCAGGUUCUUCAUGUCUCCGUGCAGAAGGAAUUCAGCGAGAGACGAGGUGAUGGGCAAGAAAUAGAUUUAAUAGGAUAGGACGCUUGUGAGAGAUGCAAGCGGGCAGGCAAGGAAGCUCUGGCCCCAGGAUCCGGUGGGCUACAGUUUUAUCCUCCAAGGGGAGUGGGGGUUGGAAAAGCCCGCCUCUUCCUUUCUGGGAGUAGCAGCUCCUCCUUGGGAACUGCUAAGGUGUGUAUUCAAAUCAGUGCAAGAGCAAGAGCAGGUCCUCGAACUCUUGCCCUUGGUCUGAAUCUGAAUGCAGACCUCAUCCCAUCCCCCACCCAACAACCUGAGGCAAUUCUCGCACUUCUGCUAGUCAAGCAAGCCUGCCUUGGGCUGAUGGCUUUUUUGAGCAAUUUAUUAACUUACAGUGAUCUCCCUGUGUCCCCUGUUUCCCUCGUUAUCCGUGGCCCUUUAUUGGGACUUCUAAAACUACCUGUCCUACUCCAUCCCUGUCACCUUGAAUGAAACCUUGCAUGUCACAUGCACUUUUGUGCCACACAACUGUCUGCUCACCUCUGUAAGCCCGAGAUCUGGGGGCUCUUCCCCCUCUUUGAGUAAAAUGGUGCUUAAAGAUCUUGUACACACAUGCCCAAUGGACAGACCUAGACACGCUUCUGCUCUUGGAAACUCCUUCCAGGGCUGUGCACAUGCCCUCAGGUCCGGCCAAGGUCUCUCAAGAGGGUGGUGUGUCCUGCCCACGCUCUCCCCACCUCGGGGGAGUAGAGGGCUUUCUGAGUCACAGCACAAAACUGCUCAUGGAGGAGAGAGUGUUUACAAUUAGGACUGAGAUCCCAGUUGUGUUCGACAGAAACACGAUUUUCUUUUCCAUAAAUACCCAGAUGAAAGGCUGGGAUACUUACUGCAGCUGUAUCCCAGCAUCUCCUGGUCUCUGUUGUGCUCUGGUCGGGGGAGGGGAAGGGCUGGGACCACCCUUGCAUGCAUGGUCUAGAAAAACCACGGAAGAUUUGAUCCUUACAUCUCACGUGCCUAACUCUCAGGGCUUUUCCACAUUUCUUCUUGUUUUUGUAAGGAUGAACAUGGGGCCAUUAAUUGCUUGUCUCUUGAUAUCCAGGGGAAUAACUGGGAAGAUUGUACCCACAGGUAGUUAUCCUUUAGGUAAUCAAAUGAAAACAGUUAAUUCCAAGCCCGCACUGCCACGUACUUCCUCAUAAUGGAAAGUAAACAGCGUGUCACUUUUAUAAACGGCGGAACAUCUAAAGAAGAGGCCUGGGGAAUCCAACUCAAUGCAUCUAGCAAGGGCAGAAAACAGUGUUGGCAGCUCCUGUUUCUCUCCAAGCACCCACCCCUCAACACUUCUCCAGUAAACAGAAGAAGCACUGCCACACUCUGGCUAAUGUUUUUAAACGCAACCUUUUUAAACCUAGACUAGGAACCUGAUGGAAAACUUUGCUUUGGGAGUUCCUGUUGUGGCUUAGCGGGUUGAGGACCGGACAUAGUCUCCCUGGGGGUGUGGGUUUGAAAUCUGGCCUCACUCAGUGGGUGAGGGAGCUGGCACUGCCGUCUGAGCAGGGCACAGAUGUGGCUAGGAACGAGUGUACUGUGGCUGUGGCAUAGGCCUCAGCUGCAGCUCUGAGUCAGCCUCUAACCUGGAAACGUCCAUAUGCCCCAAGUGUGGCCAUUAAAACAACCACCACAAAACCCACUUCACUUCGGCCUGUGCAUUUAAUAAGGAAGUGUAAUUGUUUAGAGCUGGGUGGUCUUAAAACUCUUUCUUGACCUUGUUUGGAUCAUAGACUCUCAGAAGAGUAAAUAAAAUAUGGUGUUGAAUUGGCCAACACCCUCCCAAGAAGCCCUGCGUUUAAAGUGUUCAGAGGAGUCCCUGGAGGCUCAGCCAGCAUUGUCCCUGCUGUGGCUCUGGUGACUGCUGUGGCACCGAUUCAGUUCCUAGCUCAGAAACUUUUGCAAGCUGUGGGUGCAGCCAAAAAGAAAAAAAAAAAAAA
rnacentral:lncRNA from 1 species